GACGAACGCUGGCGGCGUGCUUAACACAUACAAGCCGAACGGAAAGGCCCUGCUUUUGUGGGGUGCUCGAGUGGCGAACGGGUGAGUAACACGUGAGUAACCUGCCCUUGACUUUGGGAUAACUUCAGGAAACUGGGGCUAAUACCGGAUAGGAGCUCCUGCUGCAUGGUGGGGGUUGGAAAGUUUCGGCGGUUGGGGAUGGACUCGCGGCUUAUCAGCUUGUUGGUGGGGUAGUGGCUUACCAAGGCUUUGACGGGCAGCCGGCCUGAGAGGGUGACCGGCCACAUUGGGACUGAGAUACGGCCCAGACUCCUACGGGAGGCAGCAGUGGGGAAUAUUGCACAAUGGGCGGAAGCCUGAUGCAGCAACGCCGCGUGCGGGAUGACGGCCUUCGGGUUGUAAACCGCUUUCGCCUGUGACGAAGCGUGAGUGACGGUAAUGGGUAAAGAAGCACCGGCUAACUACGUG
rnacentral:rRNA from 1 species